ensembl:misc_RNA
CUUAUUUUUCUUUUCUAGUGGUAAUAGGAACCUACUGCAAUCCAAGAGUCUUGAGAACUCUUAGCCCAGGCCAAU